AGGAGGAGGAGGAGGAGGCGCCCCGGCCGCCGUUGCCACGUCCCCGACGCUUCCCCAGCCGUCGCCUUGUCCACCGGCGCCCUGGCCCCUUCACCACCGCCGCCCUACGACGCCCACUAGAGAAGAGCCAGUCGGAGCGGCACCGGAGUACCUCGGCGACCCCGAUCGCCUUCCUUGCCGCUGCGGGUCUGCCUGCACCGCGUCGCCUCGCCACUGCACCGACCCGCCACGGCCCCGCUAGCCUGACUCCACCGCCACCCUAGAGGAUGGAGGACCGUGAGUGGAUGUACACGGGCCGCGCAAGUCAGGGUCAGGUCACCAAUGAAUGGAUCGACAAGACCGAUGCUUUCUUGGAACGGGCAUUUGGCGUGGCUGCUAAAGAAGC